GAUGAACGCUAGCGGCAGGCUUAAUACAUGCAAGUCGAGGGGCAGCAGGGUGUAGCAAUACAUCGCUGACGACCGGCAAACGGGUGCGGAACACGUACGCAACCUUCCUUCAAGUGAGGAAUAGCCCAGGGAAACUUGGAUUAAUACCUCGUAACAUUGUGAAGUGGCAUCACUUUAUAAUUAUAGCUCAGGCGCUUGAAGAUGGGCGUGCGACUGAUUAGGUAGUUGGCGGAGUAACAGCCCACCAAGCCUGCGAUCAGUAACUGGUGUGAGAGCACGACCAGUCACACGGGCACUGAGACACGGGCCCGACUCCUACGGGAGCAGCAGUAAGGAAUAUUGGUCAAUGGACGCAAGUCUGAACCAGCCAUG
rnacentral:rRNA from 1 species